CACUUUUCUAUCAUGAAUCUGACUGCAAGCUGUGUGCUGUAGGCCUACUCUGCCAUCAUCGUAUUCAAGGUGGUGUGAGGACCUGCUGCCCUGCUGCCCUCCUGAUAGUUAUUUUUGUCCAACUAGCUUUGUUGCAGUCCCACGCUUCAUCCUAAUAGGAAUGGACUUCAGAGCGGCACUCAUCCUCCUGCCAAUCAUUUUUAAAG